GGGGAGUGAAAUAGAACAUGAAACCAUACGCUUACAAGCGAUCGGAGGUUUCUUUAUGAGACUGACGGUGUGCCUAUUGAAGAAUGUGCCGGCGACUUAAUGUAUGCAGCAAGGUUAAGUUAUAUACGGAGCCGUAGCGAAAGCGAGUCUGAAUAGGGCGUCUAGUUGCUUGCAUUAGACCCGAAACCCAGUGAUCUAUCCAUGAGCAGGAUGAAGCGUGAGUAACAUUACGUGGAGGUCCGAACCAGUAAAUGUUGAAAAAUUUUUGGAUGACUUGUGGAUAGCGGUGAAAUGCUAAACGAACUGGGAGAUAGCUGGCUCUCCUCGAAAUGACUUUAGGGUCAGCCUUGAGGUUUAGGUGCUUGGAGGUAGAGCACUGUUUAGGCUAGGGGUGUCACCAACAUUACCAAACCUAGGCAAACUCCGAAUGCCAAGUUACCAUACUCAAGAGUGAGUCUUAGGGGGUUAAGCUCCUAGGACAAAAGGGAAACAACCCAGACCGUCAGCUAAGGUCCCUAAAUGUAUACUAAGUGGAAAAGGAUGUGGGGUUACUUAGACAACCAGGAGGUUGGCUUAGAAGCAGCCACCCUUUAAAGAAAGCGUAAUAGCUCACUAGUCGAGUGAUCCUGCGCCGAAAAUGUAACGGGGCUCAAGUAUACUACCGAAGCUACGGGAUUGUAUUUAUACAAUCGGUAGAGGAGCGUUCCGUAGUAGGUUGAAGUUAAACUGUAAAGUUUGAUGGACGAAGCGGAAGUGAGAAUGUCGGCAUAAGUAACGAAAAAAUAAGUGAGAAUCUUAUUCGCCGAAAGCCUAAGGUUUCCUGGGGAAGGCUCGUCCACCCAGGGUUAGUCGGUCCUAAGUCGAGGCCGAAAGGCGUAGUCGAUGGACAACAGGUUAAUAUUCCUGUACUACCGUUAUUUCGUUAUUAGCGAUGAGGUGACGCAGAAGGAUAGGUCAGCCACUUAUUGGAUUGUGGUUUAAGCUUGUAGGUAGGGGAGAUAGGCAAAUCCGUCUUCCCGUUAAUCUGAGAAGUGAAUACGACCUGCUUGCAGGGAAGUGAUUGAUUCCAUACUGACAAGAAAACCCUCUAGUGAGAAAUAAAGGUAACCGUACUAAAACCGACACAGGUAGGCAGGUAGAAAAUACUAAGGCGCGCGGGAUAACUCUCGUUAAGGAACUCGGCAAAUUAACCUCGUAACUUCGGGAGAAGAGGUGCCUAGUUAGUGUGAACACCCUGCGGUGGGAGCAUGAAUAGGUUGCAGUGAAAGGGCUCAAGCGACUGUUUAUCAAAAACACAGGUCUCUGCUAAACCGUAAGGUGAUGUAUAGGGGCUGACGCCUGCCCAGUGCUGGAAGGUUAAAGGGAGGUGUCAAUCUUUCGAGAUGAAGCACCGAACUGAAGCCCCAGUGAACGGCGGCCGUAACUAUAACGGUCCUAAGGUAGCGAAAUUCCUUGUCGGGUAAGUUCCGACCCGCACGAAAGGCGUAACGAAUUGAGCACUGUCUCAACGAGAGACCCGGUGAAAUUGAAAUAUCCGUGAAGAUGCGGAUUACCCAUAGCAAGACAGAAAGACCCCGUGGAGCUUUACUGUAGCUUGGCUUUGUUUUUUGGAAUAAUUUGUGCAGGAUAGGUGGGAGACUUUGAUAUGCAGUCGUCAGAUUGUAUUGAGUCAUCCUUGAGAUACCACCCUGAUUAUUUUGAGAAACUAACUUGUUUCCGUUAUCCGGAAAAAGAACAGAGUCUGGUAGGCAGUUUGACUGGGGCGGUCGCCUCCUAAAGAG
rnacentral:rRNA from 1 species